CCCUUAGAUGUCCUGGGCAGCACGCGUGCUACAAUGAUGCAUUCAACGAGUCUUGCCUUAACCGAAAGGUUCGGGUAAACUUUUGAAAUUGCAUCUUGUCGGGGCUUGAUCAUUGUAAUUUUUGAUCACAAACAAGGAAUUCCUUGUAAAUGUGAGUCAUCAACUUGCAUUGAAUACGUCCCUGCCCUUUGUACACACCGCCCGUCGCUACUACUGAUUGGGUGUUCAAGUGAGAUGCUUAGACCCUUGUUGCAUGGUUCAUUAUUGUGCUCCGAAAGGAAAAAGUUUCAAGCUUGAGUGUCUAGAGGAAGUAAAAGUCGUAACA
rnacentral:rRNA from 1 species